rnacentral:rRNA from 1 species
AGUGAACGCUGGCGGUAGGCCUAACACAUGCAAGUCGAACGGCAGCACAGUAAGAGCUUGCUCUUACGGGUGGCGAGUGGCGGACGGGUGAGGAAUACAUCGGAAUCUACUUUUUCGUGGGGGAUAACGUAGGGAAACUUACGCUAAUACCGCAUACGACCUACGGGUGAAAGCAGGGGAUCUUCGGACCUUGUGCGAUUGAAUGAGCCGAUGUCGGAUUAGCUAGUUGGCGGGGUAAAGGCCCACCAAGGCGACGAUCCGUAGCUGGUCUGAGAGGAUGAUCAGCCACACUGGAACUGAGACACGGUCCAGACUCCUACGGGAGGCAGCAGUGGGGAAUAUUGGACAAUGGGCGCAAGCCUGAUCCAGCUAUACCGCGUGGGUGAAGAAGGCCUUCGGGUUGUAAAGCCCUUUUGUUGGGAAAGAAAAGCAGCAGGUUAAUACCCCGCUGUUCUGACGGUACCCAAAGAAUAAGCACCGGCUAACUUCGUG